GACGAACGCUGGCGGCGUGCCUAAUACAUGCAAGUCGAGCGGACUGAUUAAGAGCUUGCUCUUAUGACGUUAGCGGCGGACGGGUGAGUAACACGUGGGCAACCUGCCCUGUAGAUCGGGAUAACACCGAGAAAUCGGUGCUAAUACCGGGUAAUAUCUGAGAUCACAUGAUCUUAGGUUAAAAGAUGGCUCCGGCUAUCACUACAGGAUGGGCCCGCGGCGCAUUAGCUAGUUGGUAAGGUAAUGGCUUACCAAGGCGACGAUGCGUAGCCGACCUGAGGGGGUGAUCGGCCACACUGGGACUGAGACACGGCCCAGACUCCUACGGGAGGCAGCAGUAGGGAAUCUUCCGCAAUGGACGAAAGUCUGACGGAGCAACGCCGCGUGAGUGAUGAAGGGUUUCGGCUCGUAAAGCUCUGUUGUUAGGGAAGAAACAGUACCGAACGAACUAGGUCGGUACCUUGACGGUACCUAACCAGAAAGCCACGGCUAACUACGUGC
rnacentral:rRNA from 1 species